GUGGGGAAUAUUGGACAAUGGGCGAAAGCCUGAUCCAGCCAUGCCGCGUGUGUGAAGAAGGUCUUCGGAUUGUAAAGCACUUUAAGUUGGGAGGAAGGGUAGUAACCUAAUACGUUGCUACUUUGACGUUACCGACAGAAUAAGCACCGGCUAACUUCGUGCCAGCAGCCGCGGUAAUACGAAGGGUGCAAGCGUUAAUCGGAAUUACUGGGCGUAAAGCGCGCGUAGGUGGUUUUGUAAGUUGGAGGAGAAAUCCCCGGGCUCAACCUGGGAACUGCCUCCAAAACUGCAUGACUAGAGUACGGUAGAGGGUAGUGGAAUUUCCUGUGUAGCGGUGAAAUGCGUAGAUAUAGGAAGGAACACCAGUGGCGAAGGCGACUACCUGGACUGAUACUGACACUGAGGUGCGAAAGCGUGGGGAGCAAACAGGAUUAGAUACCCCUGUAGUCC
rnacentral:rRNA from 1 species